UAAUACAGAGGUCUCAAGCGUUGUUCGGAAUCACUGGGCGUAAAGGGUGCGUAGGCCGCACGGUAAGUCAGAGGUGAAAUCCCGGAGCUCAACUCCGGAAUGGCCUCCGAUACUGCCGUGCUCGAGGACUGGAGAGGAGUCUGGAAUUCACAGUGGAGCAGUGAAAUGCGUAGAUAUUGUGAGGAACACUAGUGGCGAAGGCGAGACUCUGGACAGUUCCUGACGCUGAGGCACGAAGGCCAGGGGAGCAAACGGGAUUAGAUACCCCGGUAGUCCUGGCAGUAAACGGUGCACGCUUGGUGUGGCAGGAUUCGACCCCUGCCGUGCCGGAGCUAACGCGUUAAGCGUGCCGCCUGGGAAGUACGGUCGCAAGAUUA
rnacentral:rRNA from 1 species